rnacentral:tRNA from 1 species
AGGUGUUUAGCUUAGUGGUUAAAGCACUGGUCUCAUAAGCCAGCUAUCGUUGGUUCGAAUCCCACAACACCUA